UGUGUAAAUAUUAUUUCUAAACUUGCAUAAUACUUUAAAAGUUAAAACAUUAAUGUUGUAGGUAUACGUGAUGUGUUGUUUUAAGUAUUUUUUUAUGCACGAUUUUGUUAAGUAAGGAUUAGAGCGUCGAAUGUUAGAAAUGUUUGGUCAUAAUUACACAUGGUAUUUACGCAGGUAUCACUCCGCCAGAAAAGUAGAGACCUGUGUAUGUGUUUCAUGUUUCCAAAACAGGUAUCACUCCGCCAGAAAAGUAGAGACCAGUGUAUGUGCUUCAUGUUUCCAAAACAGGGGGUCCGGUCCGAUCCGGUGGCCAUGUACUGCUUGCCUGUGUAUCGGCUGGGGACAUCUCUGCGCUGCUGAUCCGCCUCCGCUUGGGAUGGUUUCCUGCUGGCUCCGCUGUGAACGGGACUCUCGCUGCUGUGUUGGAUCCGCUUUGGACUGGACUCUCGCGACUGUGUUGGAUCCAUUGUGGAUUGAACUUUCACAGUAUCAUGUUAGACCCGCUCGACAUCCAUUGCUUUCCUCCUAAGGUUCUCAUAGUCAUCAUUGUCACCGACGUCCCACUGGGUCAUUAUUGUCACCGAUGUCCCACUGGGUGUGAGUUUUCCUUGCCCUUAUGUGGGCCUACCGAGGAUGUCGUGGUGGUUUGUGCAGCCCUUUGAGACACUAGUGAUUUAGGGCUAUAUAAGUAAACAUUGAUUGAUU